AUCUGUUCCUGUGUUUCAAACUCUUGUAUUUCUGUACUACUCCCCUUCCCCCUAAUCAAUGAUCAAUGGUAUAAGAUGGUAUAUUGUCUUUUUUUUAGUUACUGGAUGGGCCCCUCCCAGCUUUGUCCAAAAUGUCCCCUUUUACUAAACUACAAACUGAAAUGUUUAAUUUACCUUAGAACUAAAGAUUUAAUCAAGCCUAGAUAUCAGGGUGG